rnacentral:tRNA from 1 species
UCGGGGAUCGUCUAAUGGUAGGACUUUGGGUUCUGGUCCCAACUAUCGGGGUUCAAAUCCCUGUCCCCGAGCCC